rnacentral:lncRNA from 1 species
ACAAAUAGCAGUAAAUUAAAAUGCCCUUGUUUUCAAAAAUGCAGAAUUUCUUCAUCAGACGAGCUCCAUGAAGAUGACUUAUUUUCCACUAAGAGGGGGCAAAAUGUAUUUAAACCAGGACAUGCACAUCCUUCUUGCUAUGUGUGUAGCCCUUUGCUACAGUGAAGGGAAAACUCUCCCAAAUCCACUUUUGGCAGGUUUUAUGCUCCUCUAGAUCCAUAUGUUGUCCGCGGAC